rnacentral:rRNA from 1 species
CGUAGGGUCCGAGCGUUGUCCGGAAUUAUUGGGCGUAAAGAGCUCGUAGGCGGUUUGUCGCGUCUGCUGUGAAAUCCCGAGGCUCAACCUCGGGUCUGCAGUGGGUACGGGCAGACUGGAGUGCGGUAGGGGAGAAUGGAAUUCCUGGUGUAGCGGUGGAAUGCGCAGAUAUCAGGAGGAACACCGAUGGCGGAGGCAGUUCUCUGGGCCGUAACUGACGCUGAGGAGCGAAAGCGUGGGGAGCGAACAGG